rnacentral:miRNA from 1 species
CGCGGGCAAAAAAUCCAAUGGC